CCAUAGCCCUGAUAGCAGCGGCAUCCUUUUUAUCUUGAAUUUAGUUCAGGAUUCUGAACUAAAUUCAAGAUAAAAAGAUAUAGCGAAUAGCAGGAAAUUGC
rnacentral:sRNA from 1 species